rnacentral:rRNA from 1 species
AGCGAACGCUGGCGGCAGGCCUAACACAUGCAAGUCGAACGAACCUUUCGGGGUUAGUGGCGGACGGGUGAGUAACACGUGGGAACAUGCCUUUAGGUUCGGAAUAACUCAGGGAAACUUGUGCUAAUACCGAAUGUGCCCUUCGGGGGAAAGAUUUAUCGCCUUUAGAGCGGCCCGCGUCUGAUUAGCUAGUUGGUUGAGGUAAUGGCUCACCAAGGCGACGAUCAGUAGCUGGUCUGAGAGGAUGAUCAGCCACAUUGGGACUGAGACACGGCCCAAACUCCUACGGGAAGCAGCAGUGGGGAAUCUUGCGCAAUGGGCGAAAGCCUGACGCAGCCAUGCCGCGUGAAUGAUGAAGGUCUUAGGAUUGUAAAAUUCUUUCACCGGGGACGAUAAUGACGGUACCCGGAGAAGAAGCCCCGGCUAACUUCGUG